rnacentral:rRNA from 1 species
AGUAGGGAAUCUUCCGCAAUGGACGAAAGUCUGACGGAGCAACGCCGCGUGAACGAUGAAGGUUUUCGGAUCGUAAAGUUCUGUUGUUAGGGAAGAACACGUACCGUUCAAAUAGGGCGGUACCUUGACGGUACCUAACGAGAAAGCCCCGGCUAACUACGUGCCAGCAGCCGCGGUAAUACGUAGGGGGCAAGCGUUGUCCGGAAUUAUUGGGCGUAAAGCGCGCGCAGGCGGUCUCUUAAGUCUGAUGUGAAAUCUUGCGGCUCAACCGCAAGCGGUCAUUGGAAACUGGGAGACUUGAGUACAGAAGAGGAGAGUGGAAUUCCAUGUGUAGCGGUGAAAUGCGUAGAUAUAUGGAGGAACACCAGUGGCGAAGGCGACUCUCUGGUCUGUAACUGACGCUGAGGCGCGAAAGCGUGGGGAGCAAACAGGAUUAGAUACCCUGGUAGUCCACGCCGUAAACGAUGAGUGCUAGGUGUUAGGGGGUUUCCGCCCCUUAGUGCUGCAGUUAACGCAUUAAGCACUCCGCCUGGGGAGUACGGCCGCAAGGCUG